GUAGGGAAUCUUCCGCAAUGGACGAAAGUCUGACGGAGCGACACCGCGUGAAGGAUGACACUCCUCGGGGCGUAAACUUCUUUUCUGAGUGAUGAAAUUCUGACAUUAACUCAGGAAUAAGCACCGGCUAACUACGUGCCAGCAGCCGCGGUAAUACGUAGGGUGCAAGCGUUAACCGGAAUCAUUGGGCGUAAAGCGUCCGCAGCUUGACUAAUAAGUCUGAUGUUAAAACUUAGAGCUUAACUCUAGGUCCGUAUUGGAAACUGUUAGUCUUGAGUGAUGCAGAGGUACAUGGAAUUUGUGGUGUAGGGGUAAAAUCCGUUGAUACCACAAGGAACACCAAAAGCGAAGGCAGUGUACUGGGCAUCUACUGACGGUCAGGGACGAAAGCGUGGGCAGCGAAAAGGAUUAGAUACCCCUGUAGUCC
rnacentral:rRNA from 1 species